rnacentral:rRNA from 1 species
CAAAGCACACUUCACAAAAAUCCCCCCCAAAUUUUUCAGCCCCCCAACUAAAACUGAGCCCCCCUAACAACUAGGGGCAAUACUGUUAAAACUAGUAAUUCGACCCCUCUCUCCCGCACACCCCUACACCGGCACGGACCACCGAUAAUUAACAAACCACCACCAAACUAACCCCUGUUACCCCGACACAGGAGUGCCCCAGGCGUACCGCCCAAGAAGGAACUCGGCUAAUGCCCCACCUGUUUACCAAAAACAUGGCCUUUAGCCUACAAGUAUUAAAGGUCCCGCCUGCCCAGUGAACCAAACGGCCGCGGUAUUCUAACCGUGCAAAGGUAGCGUAAUCACUUGCCCCCUAAAUAGGGGCUUGUAUGAACGGCUAAAUGAGGGCCCAACUGUCUCCUACGGCAAGCCAAUGAAACUGCUCUUUCAGUACAAAAGCUGAAAUACCCCCACAAGACGAGAAGACCCUGUGGAGCUUUAAACUUUAAGUUGGGGCGACUACGGAGAAAAACACAACCUCCAUGAAACACCGCCCCCGGUCUACAAACCAAAGGCAAAUCACUUGACCCAGCACAGCUGGCCACCGAACCAAGUUACCCCAGGGAUAACAGCGCCAUCCUCCCCAAGAGUUCCUAUCGACGGGAGGGUUUACGACCUCGAUGUUGGAUCAGGACACCCCGGCGGUGCAGCAGCUGCCAACGGUUCGUUUGUUCAACGAC